UACGUAGGGGGCAAGCGUUGUCCGGAAUCAUUGGGCGUAAAGCGCGCGUAGGCGGCCCGGUAAGUCCGUUGUGAAAGUCAAAGGCUCAACCUUUGAACGCCGAUGGAUACUGCCGGGCUAGAGUCCGGAAGAGGCGAGUGGAAUCCCUGGUGUAGCGGUGGAAUGCGCAGAUAUCAGGAGGAACACCAAUAGCGAAGGCAGCUCGCUGGGACGGUACUGACGCUGAGGCGCGAAAGCGUGGGGAGCGAACAGG
rnacentral:rRNA from 1 species